rnacentral:rRNA from 1 species
AGAGUUUGAUCAUGGCUCAGGAUUAACGCUGGCGGCGUGCCUAAUACAUGCAAGUCGAGCGAGGAAAGUAGCAAUACUUUUCGAGCGGCGAACGGGUGAGUAACACGUUGGGAAUCUACCCCUGAGACCGGAAUACCUGGAAGAAAUUUCAGCUAAUGCCGGAUACGUGGUCAACACAGAAGUGAUGAUCAUAAAAGGCGGCCUUAAAGCCGCGCUGAGGGAUGAACCUGCGGCGCAUUAGCUAGUUGGUGAGNUAAAAGCCACCAAGGCGAGGAUGCGUAGCCGACCUGAGAGGGUGAACGGCCACACUGGAACUGAGACACGGUCCAGACUCCUACGGAGGCA